CCGUGGCGGGUGCCUACCAUGCAAGUCGUACGAGAAAGGGGCUUCGGCCCUGAGUAGAGUGGCGCACGGGUGAGUAACGCGUGGGUAAUCUACCCUUGGAUUUGGGAUAACUCUGCGAAAGUGGAGCUAAUACCGGAUAGUCUGGCUUUAAAUAAGAAGUCGGUAAAGGAUGCCUCUGCAUAUGCAUUCGUCCGAGGAUGAGCCCGCGUCUCAUUAGCUAGUUGGUAGGGUAAUGGCCUACCAAGGCAACGAUGAGUAGCUGGUCUGAGAGGAUGAUCAGCCACACUGGAACUGAAACACGGUCCAGACUCCUACGGGAGGCAGCAGUGGGGAAUAUUGCGCAAUGGGCGAAAGCCUGACGCAGCAACGCCGUGUGAGGGAUGAAGGCUUUCGGGUCGUAAACCUCUGUCGGAAGGGAAGAACGGGCAUUGGUCUAAUAGGCCUUUGUUUUGACGGUACCUUUAGAGGAAGCACCGGCUAACUCCGUGCCAGCAGCCGCGGUAAUACGGAGGGUGCAAGCGUUAUUCGGAAUUACUGGGCGUAAAGCGCACGUAGGCGGCCUUGUAAGUCAGGGGUGAAAUCCCACGGCUCAACCGUGGAACUGCCUUUGAAACUGCAGGGCUUGAAUCCUGGAGAGGGUGGCGGAAUUCCUGGUGUAGGAGUGAAAUCCGUAGAUAUCAGGAGGAACACCGGUGGCGAAGGCGGCCACCUGGACAGGUAUUGACGCUGAGGUGCGAAAGUGUGGGGAGCAAACAGGAUUAGAUACCCUGGUAGUCCACACCGUAAACGAUGGAUACUAGUGUCGGGGACUUGAUCUUCG
rnacentral:rRNA from 1 species